GGCAUAUCUUUAAUAAUUAAAUUUAUUCACAUUUUCCUUAGACUUUAUGGUGCUUUACAUUUUGUUAAAAUAUUCAUCUACCGUUAAAUGAUUCUCUAUAAUCUGAUUUAAUGUGUCGUCCUGUUACUGUUUUUUAAAUCAGUUUCGUUUUCAGACGUUUUUAUAUGAUUUUUUUCGCACUUUUGGCACAACUUUUGGGAAUUUUGGGUCCUCAAUGCUCUUCAACUUUGUAUUUGUUUGGCUUUUUAACUAUUUUGAUCUGAGCGUCACUGAUGAGUCUUAUGUAGACGAAACGCGCGUCUGGCGUAUAAAAU
rnacentral:lncRNA from 1 species